rnacentral:rRNA from 1 species
UAAUGUGAAUUGCAGAAUUCAGUGAAUCAUCGAAUCUUUGAACGCACAUUGCGCCCGCCAGUAUUCUGGCGGGCAUGCCUGUUCGAGCGUCAUUU